GACGAACGCUGGCGGCGUGCCUAAUACAUGCAAGUAGAACGCUGAAGGAGGAGCUUGCUUCUCUGGAUGAGUUGCGAACGGGUGAGUAACGCGUAGGUAACCUGCCUGGUAGCGGGGGAUAACUAUUGGAAACGAUAGCUAAUACCGCAUAAGAGUAGAUGUUGCAUGACAUUUGCUUAAAAGGUGCAAUUGUAUCACUACCAGAUGGACCUGCGUUGUAUUAGCUAGUUGGUGGGGUAACGGCUUACCAAGGCGACGAUACAUAGCCGACCUGAGAGGGGGAUCGGCCACACUGGGACUGAGACACGGCCCAGACUCCUACGGGAGGCAGCAGUAGGGCAUCUUCGGCAAUAGACGGAAGUCUGACCGAGCAACGCCGCGUGCGUGAAGAAGGUUUUCGGAUCGUAAAGCUCUGUUGUAAGAGAAGAACGAGUGUGAGAGUGGAAAGUUCACACUGUGACGGUAUCUUACCAGAAAGGGACGGCUAACUACGUG
rnacentral:rRNA from 1 species